rnacentral:tRNA from 1 species
GGCCUCGUAGCUCAGCUGGUAGAGCGUGUGCGUACUAAGCGUAGGCGGCGUCCAUGCUUGGAUUCGAAUCCCACCGAGGUUG